AUUGAACGCUGGCGGCAGGCCUAACACAUGCAAGUCGAGCGGUAGCACAGGAGAGCUUGCUCUCUGGGUGACGAGCGGCGGACGGGUGAGUAGUGUCUGGGAAACUGCCUGAUGGAGGGGGAUAACUACUGGAAACGGUAGCUAAUACCGCAUAACGUCUUCGGACCAAAGUGGGGGACCUUCGGGCCUCACGCCAUCAGAUGUGCCCAGAUGGGAUUAGCUAGUAGGUGGGGUAAUGGCUCACCUAGGCGACGAUCUUUAGCUGGUUUGAGAGGAUGAUCAGCCACACUGGGACUGAGACACGGCCCAGACUCCUACGGGAGGCAGCAGUGGGGAAUCUUAGACAAUGGGGGCAACCCUGAUCUAGCAAUACCGCGUGUGUGAAGAAGGCCCUAGGGUUGUAAAGCACUUUUGUCAGGGAGAAUGGCAUAUAUAGUUAAUACCUAUAGAUGCUGAUGUUA
rnacentral:rRNA from 1 species